rnacentral:rRNA from 1 species
UAGGGAAUCUUCCGCAAUGGGCGAAAGCCUGACGGAGCAACGCCGCGUGAGUGAUGAAGGUCUUCGGAUCGUAAAACUCUGUUAUUAGGGAAGAACAAAUGUGUAAGUAACUAUGCACGUCUUGACGGUACCUAAUCAGAAAGCCACGGCUAACUACGUGCCAGCAGCCGCGGUAAUACGUAGGUGGCAAGCGUUAUCCGGAAUUAUUGGGCGUAAAGCGCGCGUAGGCGGUUUUUUAAGUCUGAUGUGAAAGCCCACGGCUCAACCGUGGAGGGUCAUUGGAAACUGGAAAACUUGAGUGCAGAAGAGGAAAGUGGAAUUCCAUGUGUAGCGGUGAAAUGCGCAGAGAUAAGGAGGAACACCAGUGGCGAAGGCGACUUUCUGGUCUGUAACUGACGCUGAUGUGCGAAAGCGUGGGGAUCAAACAGG